UGUUCAGACGCCGGAAUCCUUGGCUUCCCGUAGGAUCACUCCCGUCGAUAGCGAGCUGCUUCUUGCACAUCCGCUGUGGCUUUCAUCCUAUUGUGUCUGCUCGUCAGUUUGGCUCGGUCGUGCAAGCGGGUGCUCACUCGUUUGCUUGCUUUCAUUUUCUUUUGUGUUUGGAAUGCUGAGUUCUACACGUUCCUUGAAGGGCACUGUAUGCAGGCAGGACUAGCUUUCUAACGGCCGCCUUCACCGACCGCUGUGUAAUGCAGACGGUUACAGAACCUGUGCCGCUAACGUAGAGAAUCAGAUGCUGCCUAUGUGGUAUCUGGGUUCGAGACUGGGUCAGAAAAGCGGCCGAUGACUGUCAAAUUAGGCACUCAAGCUGGCUGGUGUUUAAACGGAUGACAAGAAUGACGGGAUAUCGUGAAGAGCAGGCGCUAACGCAGUGUUCGGCAAUAGUUGCGCGUGAUACCACAUAGCGCGCCGGCAUCUUCCGAGGUUGGUUGGGCCGCUUUGUUUUUGCUAGGCGUCAACAUGGCGCCAGCUUUCUCACACGGAAAGAAGAUUUAUGAGGUAUCUACUUGCCUCAACACAUUCACAGUACCUUCUCUCCUUCUUUGGGGGAGACGAAGAGAAGUACCUUGAGACAGUCCGUACCGGUACAUAACACAACGCAAGCAAAAAUACCCAGGACCACAAGCCAGCUUCUCUCCAAGUGUGGGGACAAUGGAGAGAACCAGUGCUAUGGCACAGGGGUUCACACACGCAGGUCGACGGAGGACGUCGCCUCGCGAAAGAGUGGAACACGGGGUUGAGUGCGGAGUCUACUUGGUGGGCUUGCCGCACGACAUGGCUGGCAGCAGGGGAGACAGUCGGGAGGACGCUCCGCCAGUGGUACUGACGGAGAGGCCUCCCGACUGUCGGUUAGACAAAGAGGGAGGUUGACGUUGGAGGCCGCCUUGCGAAAGGGUCGAAGAGGGGUGUUGGAGCCGUGCGGUCGUUGGGCCAGCCCGCGCUAUGCCCUCGUAGAAAAUGCUGAUGCUAUACGGUAUGGACGAGGAGGAUAUGUCACGACUGAGGAAGAGCAACUCUUUCUUGUCGGGGUAGUAGAGUGAGAUUCGGGGUGCUCUGAUGAAGAUAAAAGCACCAGCGAAGAGGCAUUGGCCAGAAGACAGGGAAGACAGAACGAAGCAGUGCUUGACCAUGUCGUGUGGCCAAUUGUUGGCAAUGGCCUAUGAGCUUUGAGGACGUGAUUUCUGGUUUGCUGGAGGUUGUUGGUUUCUGGUGACUGGCGCAUUUUCACCUUCGUUUCACCCUCUCCACAACGUUGUAAUGCUGUUGCCGAAUCUCGAAGAUCAGGAAUAUUGUUGGAAGGCGAUAAUCACUCGAGACAUCGUAAGGUCUGAUCACCUCUAUUGCAUGUGAUCCCAUCUGCGUGGCACGACGUCCGUCCUGCUCCUGUUGCUCAACAACGAUACAGAUAUUGUACAUCUCAGCAAUGACUGCGAGAGUGCACUCGUCUCCCCAAAUCCGGUAUCUCACGUCUCCAAGUCUGAUAACCCAGUUCCUUUUGAGUUCAUCUGCGUCCACUACGGGAUAUUUUCUGGAGCCCUUAUACGGAACUCUAACUUUAUAUUUCUUGUCGAGUUUAGCCAUUCUCCAGUCCUCUUCCUGCAACCUGUCCGGGUUUAUCAGCCAGGAAAGUCGGCUGAAGUUGUCCUUCAGAUAUUGUGCCACUUGUCGACGGAGUUCAAUGUGCGCUUCCUCGGUGCCAAGCAGGGCGUAGCUGACCGAACGGAAUUGACAAUUUCCAUCAGGGGCAACGCAGCGCUUCUGCACAACCUCCGCGUCGUAGAAUGACAGCUGCGGCUGCGGGACCAUGGUUAAAUUUUUGGCUGGCAUAUUGAGGGUUUCGGCAAGUCGACGACGACAACACAAAUCUGGGGCGACAAAUGGCAACCAAUCAGGAGGUAGUAUGACUUUAGGUGGCUUCAGGACAUCGUGUGCAAACUUCACCUCUUUCACCAGAGGCUGCGGAUCAGGCUCCGUGGUGCCCCCCUGUAGCGGACUCAGAUUUAGGCUAAGUUCCCGCUCCUUCGCGUGGAGUGCUGCAAGUCGACCGAAGAUCAUCUCUUCCGUUCUCGCUCCACAGCAAUCUGUGGGGGAACCACCGGGAGGGGUUGCCCUCGCCGACACCCGCUCUCCUGGCGACAUCUCGUCGGGAAUAUCCAAGCCUCCUUCAAAGAAGUCGUCGGCCUCUGGUGUCGACGCGGAAUAGAC
rnacentral:lncRNA from 1 species